rnacentral:lncRNA from 10 species
CUUCCAUCUGUCCUUCCUUCCUUCCAUCCGUCCAUCCUUCCUUCCUUCCUUUCUUCUGUCCUUCCUUCCUUUCUUGCUUUUUUUUUUGUUUGUUUGUUUCCUUGAAACAGGGUCUCACUCUGUUGCCCAGGCUGGAGUGCAGUGGGGCAAUCAUGGUUCACUAUAGCCUUAACCUCCCCUGGCUCAAGUGAUCCUGCCACCUCAGCCUC